AUAUACCAGUCUGCGUGAAACUAGAGCGCGCAAUCGGCACUUUUGGAUCGAAAAGAGUGAGAAAAAUCAAGAAAACCUUUUUUCAACUUGAUCAGUAUGAACAUAUAGCUAAACAAGGUAACAAUAUAUUCUCUCAUCUAUAAAUCUGUCCAAUAAAUUAUUGCGAAUGAAAGAAAUUUAAAAAAAAAUUCCUUUUUCUAUGACUACCAGAAAUCCUAUCAAAAACGUUCCGUUUCGUCGGUUAAAUAACUAGUUUUUUGAAUCAAUAGAUGUAACUGAUUUUCAAGCAAUUCAAUUAUUUAUUAAUGUAUAGAAUUUUGUGUGAUAAAUGAUAUCUAUUUGUCUUAUAACGCAAUGAUUUGAUUCUGUCGAUUCUUGUACUUUGAACAGGCCAAUUUUUGACGGUUAAGCCACUCCUUGGCGCCAGAAUUAAAACGUUUGUGAACUUGUUUUUUAUAAGUAGGCGUUUUCCCGCACUAUUCUUAAGAAUUCAAGCUUCCUUGACUCUAAAUUUUAAUCCAUAAUUACCUAAGAUUAGCUAACACGUUGUCAGGUGGCUCAUUGUCUUUGUUAGCUUCAACAUGUUAAUGCCAUGGUUGAAUAGGGGCUAUAAACCCCCACACGCCAAUUCAAAAUUAAACGGUUUCCUCGAAAAUGGCGCCAAUUCUAGGCGUCUGGCGCUUCUAUUUUUAGCACAAACAGUUUGGUCUUUGUUAACAACCUUAAACGCCCGCCUUAUGGUUAAAAUUCAAACGUCCUUAGUUUUUUGUCAUUUCUCAUGCCCACUUCAAACUGAUCACUUGGUCCUGAAAAAACGUUGACGUAUAAUAUUACAGAGCUACCUCGGAAUAAAUGUAAGUAAACUUAAAACCCAGUGAUAACUUAUGCCUAUAGAUAAUCGGCUUUUGCAUAAUUAUAAAAAACAAAUACUCAUUUAGAUUUCCACUAUCUAUUUCUACUUAGCUUUACACUGUUAACUUGUGUAUACAAAGUUAAUUGCGCAUUGCCUCUUAUAAUACGGAACAAGGAAAUACAUUUGUUGCAAACAAGUGCACAAGCGUUCCCAAACUAUUACCUAACUGUUAGGUAAUAGUAAUAGCUAGGGUCGUGAGGUAUUGGACAGCUCGAUAGGGGGCGUUCGUGUCUAAUUUGCAUAUCGUACCCCUAUUUUCAGUUAGGUUUCUUUGUUAAACCCAUGAACACACCCACAGGCACUCGAAAAUGUCAACAUUACAAGAGACUAAUGAGACGAUGGUAUCGUUCAGUUCACUGCCAUUCUCUGAAUCCAUCACAUCGGGCUCAAUUGACAGGAGUGAUAUGUUGGAAAUGAAAGACAAAACGCCAAGCAGAAAAGAAAGAAUAAAAACUACUUCCGUUUCUCCUAAUUGUAAUUUAAAACUAUUAGCAGCAGUCAGUUGCGAGAAAGCGGAGAAAAAGAAGCAAGGGUCCAGUGUCUUCAGACCGCUUUUCACUGAUGAUAACUCAAUGGAUUCUACGACGGACUCGACUUCUUCCUCGUACGAAUGCUCUGUUGAGAGUGAACUAUUGUUUGAGGACGAAGUAGAGGCAGGAAUUAGUCAAACCUCAGGAAAGCAGUCAAAGUAUACGGUGCAUAAUAGGAAGAAUAAAUCGUUAGGCGUUCUCUGUCACAAAUUUCUCUCUCUUUUCCCUGAAAAUCCUGAUCCAUCAACCAUUCACGAAAUUCCACUUGACUAUGUCGCAAAAACUCUUGAUGUUGAAAGGCGCCGAAUAUAUGACAUAGUUAACGUGCUGGAAAGCAUAGAAAUAGUCAGUCGAUAUGGUAAAAACAAAUAUUUAUGGCAUGGUUGUUCAAGUUUGCCGGUUACACUCGCCAAAUUACUAGCUUUGGCAAAAAAGGAGGGGUUCAUUGAAUAUGUGGAUUACAUGCAUAAAAGAAGUAACUUGUCUUCUUCGAAGGCGAAAGUUUAUCCAGCAAUAAGCAGUAGUAUUAGGGAACAUUGGGAACGGGAAAAGAGUAUGGGAAUAUUGAGUCAAAAAUUUCUUAUGCUCUUUCUGAUUUAUCGGGGUAAAGUUGUCAGUAUGGAGCUAGCCUCAAAAGUCCUAAUGGGAGAUGUGCAAUGUGACAUGUCAUCUGAAUCUGCCAAAUAUAAAACUAAAAUACGACGGUUAUAUGACAUUGCAAACAUCCUUGCUAGUGUAAAACUGGUGGAGAAAGUCUACAUUACAAAUGAAAGAGGGCGAAAACCUGGUUAUAAAUACAUAGGACCUGAAAUUGCUGACACGAUUGAAGAAAAACAUUUUAUUGAAAGAUCGUUUGAUGCCAAUUUUAACAAACCUCCGAUUACUCGCCAUUCUUUCCUAAAUUCUGAAGGGUCGAAAAAUUGGCCGACUCUAGUGAAAACCAGAUCUGCUUCGAAUCUGGAAGAUAAUGCUGAAUCUGCUUCAAAACGAGUCAAAACUUUAUCGAAGCAUACAUCAUUUGAUCAGCUAGUCCAUGUUUCAAAUAUGGAACUGCAGAAAUUAAGAGAAUCUGAAGUGCCACGGGUUUCUAGAAAAAAUAUACAGGAAAUAGCACAUCCGUCUUCUUUUCGACAAUUCGUGUGGAGUAAGAAAUUAGUGCCUAUGACUAUUAAGGAUCAGAAUAUGCAGAAAAUUACUAUUUGUCUGAAUCCACAAGCAAAUGGCAUUGAUUCAACGAAUAACGACAUUUUAAGUGUACCAUUAAAGACACCGACGAACGGAAACGUAAAUAUCAGAAGUGUUCAGAGCAGAUAUCAAAGAACGCUCGCGUCACCAAUUCUAGUCGGACCGCCAAAUUGUGAUUAUAAAACUCCAAUGGCGAUUGCUUCACCUAAGCGAGAUUCUAACUAUAACUUCUUUCAGCCAACACCCGACGACGGAUUUGAUUCUAAUAGUGUUCAAUCCACAAAAAUUUCUAAAUUGAAUGUAAAUGUAGCUAGACAAUUGCAAUUGGCUGAUUCCGUUUAAAACGUCAUUCCAUUUUUGUUAUUCGUUGUUUAGUUUCAUGACUUAUUUAUUUUGUUAAGGUGCUCGUUCUGCCAUUAUCGAAUUCUGAAGCUGAAUAGAUUUAAGUUAUCUACGACAAAAGUCGUUAUUUUCAAAUAUUUAUUUUAUCCUAUGCUAUGUUAUACUAUACUAUAAAUAC
rnacentral:misc_RNA from 1 species